rnacentral:rRNA from 1 species
UACNCNUGCAGUCGAACGGUAGCACAGAGAGCUUGCUCUCGGGUGACGAGUGGCGGACGGGUGAGUAAUGUCUGGGAAACUGCCUGAUGGAGGGGGAUAACUACUGGAAACGGUAGCUAAUACCGCAUAACGUCGCAAGACCAAAGAGGGGGACCUUCGGGCCUCUUGCCAUCAGAUGUGCCCAGAUGGGAUUAGCUAGUAGGUGGGGUAACGGCUCACCUAGGCGACGAUCCCUAGCUGGUCUGAGAGGAUGACCAGCCACACUGGAACUGAGACACGGUCCAGACUCCUACGGGAGGCAGCAGUGGGGAAUAUUGCACAAUGGGCGCAAGCCUGAUGCAGCCAUGCCGCGUGUAUGAAGAAGGCCUUCGGGUUGUAAAGUACUUUCAGCGGGGAGGAAGGGGAUAAGGUUAAUAACCUUGUUCAUUGACGUUACCCGCAGAAGAAGCACCGGCUAACUCCGUGCCAGCAGCCGCGGUAAUACGGAGGGUGCAAGCGUUAAUCGGAAUUACUGGGCGUAAAGCGCACGCAGGCGGUCUGUCAAGUCGGAUGUGAAAUCCCCGGGCUCAACCUGGGAACUGCAUUCGAAACUGGCAGGCUGGAGUCUUGUAGAGGGGGGUAGAAUUCCAGGUGUAGCGGUGAAAUGCGUAGAGAUCUGGAGGAAUACCGGUGGCGAAGGCGGCCCCCUGGACAAAGACUGACGCUCANGUGCGAAAGCGUGGGGAGCNNNAGGAUUAGAUACCCUGGUAGUCCACGCUGUAAACGAUGUCGACUUGGAGGUUGUUCCCUUGAGGAGUGGCUUCCGGAGCUAACGCGUGUCGACCGCCUGGGGAGUACGGCCGCAAGGUUAAAACUCAAAUGAAUUGACGGGGGCCCGCACAAGCGGUGGAGCAUGUGGUUUAAUUCGAUGCACGCGAAGAACCUUACCUACUCUUGACAUCCANAGAACUUAGCAGAGAUGCUUUGGUGCCUUCGGGAACGAGGCUGCAUGGUGGUCAGCUCGUGUUAAUGUGGUCCCGCAACGAGCGCCUUCCUUUGUGCAGCGCCGCGGUGAGACUGCGGUAUGGAGGGGACGUCAGUCAUCAUCCUUCGGGCAACUAGCGCUCAUACAUG